UUUCACUGAAGCGGCAACACCAAAAGAUUUAAGGUGGCCACUAACAAAGGCCUUAAGCUUCAUGUUCAUUACUUCUUGUAAUGCCUUUCGCCGUUCCUCUUUAAGCUUAUAACUACCAAAGUCUUCUUCACCAAAGCUGAUUAACGAAGCUGGACUACCCCAUUUCUGCCCAUCAACACAUUCGUCGUCAUCAUAAUUAGCCACACUGUCCUCAAUAUCAUCAUCGUCGUCUUCUGGUUGUGGGGGAAACCAGAACUGGGCAUCAAAUUCAUCAUUACAAGAGGUUCCAGCCUCAUCAUUGUCAUAUCUUUCAUUUCUACUGUCAUUGGGUUCCUCAGAGUUGCCAGUUCUUGUUUGUUCUGCAUCCCUUCCUAUAGCAGAACUAAAAUCCUCUUGACUGCUGUCUGUACUACAUUCAUCAACAUACACCCUCACAUCUGA
rnacentral:misc_RNA from 1 species